rnacentral:rRNA from 1 species
AACGAACGCUGGCGGCAGGCUUAACACAUGCAAGUCGAACGCCCCGCAAGGGGAGUGGCAGACGGGUGAGUAACGCGUGGGAACAUACCCUUUCCUGCGGAAUAGCUCUGGGAAACUGGAAUUAAUACCGCAUACGCCCUACGGGGGAAAGAUUUAUCGGGGAAGGAUUGGCCCGCGUUGGAUUAGCUAGUUGGUGGGGUAAAGGCCUACCAAGGCGACGAUCCAUAGCUGGUCUGAGAGGAUGAUCAGCCACAUUGGGACUGAGACACGGCCCAGACUCCUACGGGAGGCAGCAGUGGGGAAUUUUGGACAAUGGGCGCAAGCCUGAUCCAGCCAUGCCGCGUGCAGGAUGAAGGCCUUCGGGUUGUAAAGCUCUUUCACCGAUGAAGAUAAUGACGGUAGUCGGAGAAGAAGCCCCGGCUAACUUCGUGCCAGCAGCCGCCGUAACAC